AGUGAACGCUGGCGGUAGGCCUAACACAUGCAAGUCGAACGGCAGCACAGUAAGAGCUUGCUCUUACGGGUGGCGAGUGGCGGACGGGUGAGGAAUACAUCGGAAUCUACUUUUUCGUGGGGGAUAACGUAGGGAAACUUACGCUAAUACCGCAUACGACCUACGGGUGAAAGCAGGGGAUCUUCGGACCUUGCGCGAUUGAAUGAGCCGAUGUCGGAUUAGCUAGUUGGCGGGGUAAAGGCCCACCAAGGGGACGAUCCGUAGCUGGUCUGAGAGGAUGAUCAGCCACACUGGAACUGAGACACGGUCCAGACUCCUACGGGAGGCAGCAGUGGGGAAUAUUGGACAAUGGGCGCAAGCCUGAUCCAGCCAUACCGCGUGGGUGAAGAAGGCCUUCGGGUUGUAAAGCCCUUUUGUUGGGAAAGAAAAGCAGCAGGUUAAUACCCCGCUGUUCUGACGGUACCCAAAGAAUAAGCACCGGCUAACUUCGUG
rnacentral:rRNA from 1 species